rnacentral:rRNA from 1 species
UGGUCAAGUUAUUAAGGGUGCAGGGCGGAUGCCUUGGCACUAGGAGCCGAUGAAGGACGUGAUAAGCUGCGAUAAGCUUCGGGGAGUUGCACGUAAACUUUGAUCCGAAGAUUUCCGAAUGAGGAAACUCACUUAGAGUAAUGUCUAAGUAUCAUUAAGUGAAUACAUAGCUUAAUGAGGGGAACUCAGGGAACUGAAACAUCUAAGUACCUGAAGGAAGAGAAAGAAAUUCGAUUCCGUAAGUAGCGGCGAGCGAACGCGGAUUAGCCCAAACCAAUAAAGUUUUCUUUAUUGGGGUUGCGGACAUAUCAUAACGAAGAGGUAUCGUA